rnacentral:rRNA from 1 species
UACGUAGGGGGCAAGCGUUGUCCGGAUUUACUGGGCGUAAAGAGCAUGUAGGCGGCCAAACAGGUCCGUUGUGAAAACUGGAGGCUCAACCUCCAGACGUCGACGGAAACCGUAUGGCUAGAGUCCGGAAGAGGAGAGUGGAAUUCCUGGUGUAGCGGUGAAAUGCGCAGAUAUCAGGAAGAACACCUAUGGCGAAGGCAGCUCUCUGGGACGGUACUGACGCUGAGACGCGAAAGCGUGGGGAGCGAACAGG